UGGCAACGAAUGCCAAGGGCGAAAAUUUGUUCCCGCAAACAAACGCAGCGCAGCAGAGCUUUUCACUCCUCUGCUCUGCCAAAUUUAAUUUUGUGGACAUGGUAGAACCAGAUUCUUCAAAUUUCAGUCUCCUUCGGUAAUCCUCUCUCUAUCUAUAUUCAAAUUUACUUUACUCGUUGAAGAAAUUAGCUCCAUUUUUCUUGAAUUUUCCCAUGAAUCUAACGCAAAAAUCAAUUAAAUCUACUUGUUCAAAUGGAGAAUUACUUAUUAGUUUCAAGAAUCUUCAUUCAAGACUGAAUUUUUCAUCAUCAAAUUGUGUCCAAAUUCUAACAGAUUAUAGUGGGUCUGCCAGACCCUUUUCAAACCCUCUGCAUAAUUUUCUACCUAAAACCCAAAACCCCCAAAACACAGUGAGUCUGAUAUGUUCAGCUCUAAAGAACAGAAACAAUGACCAUUUGUCCCUCCUUCAGAAAACCAUCCAAGAUAAUGGGCUUAUUAGUUAUUUCAGUGACAGUGAAAUCUCAAGGGUCCUGUUGAGAUGCCAGUCUGAUUCAUGCAGUGCUCUUAGUUUCUUUAACUGGGUCAAGAAUGAUUUGGGUGUGGAGCCUAACACUCGAAACUGCUGUCUUGUAAUUCAUAUACUGACUUGGACAAGGAACUUUUCACAAGCAAUGAAAUUUUUGUCUGAAUUGGUUAAUUUGAAGAGAGAUGGAAUGGAGAGUGUGGAUGUGUUUGAAAGUUUGCUUUCAUCUAGUGGUUUGUGUAAUUGGGACCCUGUUGUGUUUGAUAUGCUAAUUAAGGCUUUUCUCAAGGUGAACAUGGUGAAAGAUGGAUUUAGAGCGUUUAGAAAGACGGUGAAGCAUGGAAUGUACCCGAGUGUUAUUACUGUGAACUGCCUUUUAACUGGUCUUUCAAAGUUGAAUUAUAGCAAAAAAUGUUGGGAAGUUUAUGCUGAAAUGGAAAGAAUUGGAGUGCACCCGAAUUCGUGUACCUUUAAUAUAUUAACCCAUGUCUUGUGCAAGGAUGAAGAUGUGAACAAGGUUAAUGAAUUCUUGGAGAAAAUGGAAGAAGAAGGGUUUCAACCUGAUAUAGUUACAUAUAAUACUUUAGUUAGUAGCUAUUGUAGGAAAGGAAGAAUGAAAGAUGCAGUUCACUUGUAUCAAAUUAUGUACAUUAGAGAUGUAUCACCAGAUUUGUUCACAUAUACUUCUUUGAUAAAUGGCUUUUGUAAAAAGGGAAAUGUGAAAGAUGCUCAUCAGUUGUUUAUAAGGAUGGCUGACAGAGGGUUAAAACCAGAUGUUAUUUUGUAUAACACUCUUAUUUCUGGUUAUUGCAAAGAGGGGAUGAUGCAAGAGGCACGUUUUCUUUUGCAUGACAUGAUUGGAGAAGGGAUGCAUCCUGAUAAGUUCACUUGUUCAGUUCUUGUACAAGGAUAUCAAAAACAGGAUAAUUUGGUUUCAGCUGUGAAUUUAGUCACCGAGCUUCAAAGAUUUAGAUUUGUAGUAUCUCAUGAUAUAUACAAUUAUCUUAUUGCUGCACUUUGUAUUGAGAAUCGACCAUUUGCAGCCAAAGCUCUAAUUGAUCGAGUAUCUGGCGACAGAUAUGAGCCUAGCAAUAUGGUCUACGGGGAGUUGAUUGAAUCUUUCUGCAGAUGCAAUUUCCCCGAUGAGGCUUCAUGCUUGAAAGCAGAGAUGGUAUCAAAAGAUUUGAAGCCUGAUAUUGGUACAUAUAGAGCUAUAAUUAAAUGUUUGUGUAAAUUAGGCCGAAGCAUGGAUGCCAACUCCUUGAUGAGAGAAAUGACUGAUUGUGAUGUGCCACCUGAUAUUGAAGUCUGUAGAGCUUUAAUAAAUGGUCAUUGUGGGGAGAACAAUUUCUGUGAGGCUCAAUCGCUGUUAAGCUUCUUUGCUCAAGAAUUUAAAAUAUUUGACACAGUUUGUUACAACACAAUUGUCAGGCUUCUAAGUGGUGAAGGUGAUAUUGCAAAAUUGAUGAAAUUUCAAGAUAAAAUGAGGAAAGUGGGUUUUGCGCCAAAUCAGCUGACAUGCAAGUACGUUAUUGAUGGAUUACAGAAAGCUGUGGGAGUCCACAAAAUCAACAGCUGAGUGCAGUAAUGAGUUCAGUCUUUGGUGGCAAUGAUUUUCUCCGUUAAGAUGACAUUGCUGCAGUGGAUCUCAAAUGACUUUAGCUUCUUUACUGAAAGGUGCUUGGAUUCACACAUCUUGAGAUUGGACACGGAGCUUCUUGAUCUUGACGUUCAGAAAUAGAGGAUCAAUCACUUCAGGGUGCAGGGUUAUGAAAUAUGAAGCUAUAUUACUUGCAGAAGGAUUGACAUUGGUUUCUGUUAGAGUUGAACUUAAGAUCCUCAGUACUAGAACCACAGAUCAAGUUUGAAUUAUAUGCUCACUGGUUCUUUGUGUUUUGUUUUCAGCUGUAUUAUGGUUCCUUCAUGGCUGACCUAAAUUUGGAAUUAUAAGUGGAUGGCUAAAGAAGGUGUCAAUUCUCAAAGAGAUGAGGAAAGGGGCUUGAACCAGCAGGCAUAAACACAGUAGUCUUUCAACCGUUACAGGGAAGAAUGGGGACAAGACAUCCGAAUGGGACAUGGAAAUCUAUACAGCAAUCAAGUGUUUGUUGUGGCAACUGGCAAGUACCUUCUAGCUUCUUCAUUCUUGUUGUUGCUCUAAUGAGUGGUGCAUGCAUGCAGACAAGUAUACUGCGUGCACAGUGAAAGAGAGAGCUGGAAAGGGUUGGCGAGGAUAGUUAAUGUGAAAGGUGAUUUCUGAUACUAGAAAAAUAUGAAUUGGUAACGCGAAAAUUGAGAGGCCUAGUAAUAUUGUCCGCUCUCUUUGAAACGUGUUGUUAGGGUGAAAAGCGUGCUUACUUAUAUACCGAGCAUCUCUUUUGUGUUUUGGCAAUGUGGAACUCUUAUUCUAAGCUAGGGUGUCAUCAGUGGCAGCAAAGUGACAUAUACUCAACACUCCUUUAUCGAAAAAUUAUACCGUGUAGCUAGGUAAGAAUAUUUUUUUAUGUAUACAUACAUAUAUAAUAUAUAGACACUCCUUGGUUUCCACAUGAUUUAUUUUGACACUCCUUAGUCGUAACUUUGAUGACUUCGCCACUGGGUGUCGCAUACUAUUAGUACUGAGGUUUUACCGAUUUGCCUAAACUUAGUUGAGCUUUGACCGACCAUCGACAAGACUGACAUAUGAAUGAUUUUGAUAUCAUUUGCAAUGUCCAUAUGACUAGUGAUAUUGUUUGCUCUAGAC